UCACGCCGAGUGACAACCGGCCGUAACAGGGACGAUGGACGCGGCUAUUUUGCCGGCUUCUGGUCGCGACAUCAACGCAUCGGUACGCGCUGACAUCUAACCUGUUCUUGGC
rnacentral:sRNA from 1 species